rnacentral:rRNA from 1 species
UGGGGAAUAUUGCACAAUGGGCGCAAGCCUGAUGCAGCCAUGCCGCGUGUGUGAAGAAGGCCUUCGGGUUGUAAAGCACUUUCAGUUGUGAGGAAAGGUUAGUAGUUAAUACCUGCUAGCUGUGACGUUAGCAACAGAAGAAGCACCGGCUAACUCCGUGCCAGCAGCCGCGGUAAUACGGAGGGUGCGAGCGUUAAUCGGAAUUACUGGGCGUAAAGCGUACGCAGGCGGUUUGUUAAGCGAGAUGUGAAAGCCCCGGGCUCAACCUGGGAACUGCAUUUCGAACUGGCAAGCUAGAGUGUGAUAGAGGGUGGUAGAAUUUCAGGUGUAGCGGUGAAAUGCGUAGAGAUCUGAAGGAAUACCGAUGGCGAAGGCAGCCACCUGGGUCAACACUGACGCUCAUGUACGAAAGCGUGGGGAGCAAACGGG